AUGAAAAUCGUGCCAGUUUCUUAUCCUGCGCUCUCUUUGUCCUCUCCAUAUAAAGCCCCUCUCGCUGGCUCAAUCGAGUUCAUAAUCUCCAUAUCCACCUCUGCUUGCUUUUCAAGCUUAGCCUCUGUUUCCCUUUUAUCCACAGUUGCACCUUUCAGGUUAUGGUCUCUGCUGAUCACCGGAAACCUGAGAGCCGUCGCUUCUUCCCAGCUCUCGGUUUCCCCCGCCUCCGUUUCUUCCGUUACCGCCGUUUGAGAUGCCGACAACACCGAAGAGUAACCGU
rnacentral:misc_RNA from 1 species